AUGAACUUCAGUAAACUUUGCUGUCAGGGACUGAAUGACUGUGUCCACCCUCCCUUCUCCGAUCUAUGGUGUUGGAAUCCCUCCUCCCAUGGUGGAACUAAGAGGCAAGGACACAUCUACCAAACAGAGAGCCCACACCAGACACUGAAGCAGACGGCAUGUCAGCCCUGGAUCACUCAGCUUAUAGUAACACCCAGAUAAUGGCAUUUGGUACAGUAACCUGAGCUUAGUCAAUUAACUAUUUCACUUUUAAUUUUCAAAGAUUUUGUUUCUGAUUUAUGUGUAUGUAUGUUUGUCUGUGUGAUUUGUUUUGUUUCUGACUUGUGUGUAUGUGUGUAUUGUCUGUGUGUGAUUUGUUUUGUUUCUGACUUGUGUGUAUGUGUGUAUUGUCUGUGUGUGAUUUAUUUUGAUUCUAAUUUUUGUGUAUGUGUGCUUGUCUGUAUGAUAUAUUUUGUUUCUGAUUUAUAUGUACGUAUGCCCAGCUGUCUGUCUGUGUGUCUAUGCCUGUGUGAGGCCAGAAGAGAGUGUUGGAUGUGCUGGAGCUGGGGUUACCAUGAACCUCCCGGCACAGGUGCUGGGAACAGAAAUGUCUGGAAGAGCAGCAAGUGCCCUUGAUGAGGGAUCUGCCUCCCUAACCUUGGUUAACUAUUUGAAUCAACAAGUUUGGGGGUGAAAAGUGAAUUAAGACACCACCCUGGACUCUUAUGGACUGCCUCCCGCAUGCAGACAGGUAAGGCACGCGGCAAUGAGUGUCAGUUCAUGAUUAUAGGCCAGCUGGAGGAGCCCUAUAGAAAAAUGACAUGGCUGACUUCAAAAUGAUAAAUUUGGGAUUGAGAGAUGGCUCUGUGCUUAAAAACACUUGCUGAGCUUGCGGAAGACAUGAGUUUGAUUCCCAACACCCACAUUAAGUGGCUCACAACUGCCUGUGGCUCUAUAUGCAUCUGCAUUCAUGUGCUCGAACAUUUGUAGACAUACACAGGCACACAGACACACAUACAAUUUAAAAUAAAAUACGGGCUGGAGAGAUGGCUCAGUGGUGAACUGCACGGGCUGCUCUUCCAGAGGACCCGGGUUUGAUUGCCAGCACCCACACUGUGGCUCACAACUGUCUGUAACUCUAGUUCCAGGGAUCCAAUGUCUUCUUCUGGCCUCCAAGAGGUGGUCUGUACAAGUGGUGCACAGAUAUAUAUGCAGGCAAAAACAUCUAUACAUAAAAUAAUUUAAAACAAAUCUGAAAAUGAAAUAAAUCUUUAACAUUUUUUUCAAAAGGAAACGAAGUGAAGUGAGCGUUCCAACAGAGCAGGGGGAGCAGGGAGUGUGGAAGGUCAAGGCCAAGAACAUUUCCUUGGGGCCUGGAGCUUCAAUUUGUCUUCGAGGGAAGAUAAGGUAAUGCUGAGUUGCUGAAGAGGAACAGAGGCAGGACUUCCCACAGGAAGGACGUAAACAGUCUGCAGGAAUGUGGCUAGCACUCUGACUGGACCAGAGCAGAGGGCCUGAGGAAGAGAGCAAAGGGGGAUGAAGCUUGGGUGGGGGAGAUCAUGCCGUAAAAGAUGGGGACCUGGGGUUAGAAUUGCCAGAUUUAGAGACUGGAGAGAUGGCUCAGUGGUUAACAGCACUUGCUGUCCUUGAGAACACCUGGUUUGAUUCCCAGUCCCUCCACAAUGGUUCACAACCACCUGCAACUCCAGCUCUGGGGAGUCCAAGACCUCUUCUGACCUCAACAGGCACAUGUGUGGUACAUAUGCAUACAUGCAGGCAAAACACUUAUAAAAGAAGAUGAAUCUAGAACUGCCAGGCUUAACACUAGAUAAAAAUAUAGACUAAUCAGCAACAUUUGGAACAUACUUAUACCUGGAAGUUUUGCUUUCUAAAAUUAAAAUUUAGGUGUAAGUAUUAUUGUUUAUUUGGUAGCUCUUGCUGAGGUGAAAAACUCAAACACUACAGGGGACUGGGAGACAGACUACGUGAAAACCAAGAGAGAAGGUGGGACCAUUAGGUUUGGGUGUGGAAUGUCCCCCACAGGCUCAUGUGUUUGAACACUGGUCUCCAGAUGGGGGCGCUAUUUUUUUCAGGUUGUAGAACCUUUAGAAGAUGGAAUCUCACUGGAGGAAGUGGGUCCCGGGAGGGCAGCCUUUGAGAGUUAUAUACCGACCCCGAUGCCCUCUGCUCUUUGCUAACUGACCAUCGACCCAAUGUCAUGACUGCCUCACGCUCCUGUCCCAGCGGCAAGGGCCCACGCCUUGCUCACCACUAAAGACUCUUGUCCCACACGCCAUGAGCCCGGGUGACUCCUUCCUCUUUGGGUCCCUUUUUGUUUGUUUGUUUUAAGACAGGGCUUCAGGUAGACCACACUGGCCUCAAAGUCGCUGCAUGGUUGAAAAUGACCUUGAACUGACCCCCAUGCUGCACCCUCCUGAAUGACAGGCAUGUGUCAUCAUGCCCACCUCUUAAGUUGCUUUCUUCCAGGGAUCUGGUCACAGCUUUAAGAAAAGGAACCAAUAAGACUGUGACAGAACAUGCAAAACUUGUUCUGCUUAAAGAUAAUUGGCCCUGGGAUGGAAACAUGGUUCAGCAGCUAAGAAUGCUGGCUGCUUCCAGAGGACCAGGCUUCAGUUCCCCAUACCCACGUAGUGGCUCACAACCAUCUUCAACUCUAGUCCUAGGGGAUCCAACACCUUCUGCUGCCUCUAUGGGCCCAGGGCAUGCACGUGAUGCACAGAUAUACAUUCAGGCAAAACAUUCUCACAUCUAAAAUUUAAAACAAACAAACAAAAAACCAUACUAAUUUUGCUCAGUGUUUAGCACAUGAAAAUGCAGGUGAAAUAUUUUCAACUUUUCCAUUUUCCAAGAGAAGCUGGAAUUUUGGAUUAUAGAUCCUAAUUAUCUAAUAUUACUUGAAUAUUUCCAUAUUUAAAACACUGUAUAAGCCAAAUAAAACCAUGUUUGUAUUUAGCUUGAA